GAGAUUAAUAUAUGAACUGCUAAAUCACAACCCCGAACCUGAACACUCGGACUUCUC
rnacentral:tRNA from 1 species